AUUGAACGCUGGCGGCAUGCCUUACACAUGCAAGUCGAACGGUAACAGGCCUUCGGGUGCCGACGAGUGGCGAACGGGUGAGUAAUACAUCGGAACGUGCCCGAUCGUGGGGGAUAACGAGGCGAAAGCUUUGCUAAUACCGCAUACGAUCUACGGAUGAAAGCAGGGGACCGCAAGGCCUUGCGCGGACGGAGCGGCCGAUGGCAGAUUAGGUAGUUGGUGGGAUAAAAGCUUACCAAGCCGACGAUCUGUAGCUGGUCUGAGAGGAUGAUCAGCCACACUGGGACUGAGACACGGCCCAGACUCCUACGGGAGGCAGCAGUGGGGAAUUUUGGACAAUGGGCGCAAGCCUGAUCCAGCCAUGCCGCGUGCAGGAUGAAGGCCUUCGGGUUGUAAACUGCUUUUGUACGGAACGAAAAGCCUUCUUUUAAUACAGGAGGGUCAUGACGGUACCGUAAGAAUAAGCACCGGCUAACUACGUG
rnacentral:rRNA from 1 species